GCGCUCAUAGCUCAGCUGGAUAGAGCACUUGGCUACGAACUAAGGGGUCGUGAGUUCGAAUAUCUCUGAGCGCACCA
rnacentral:tRNA from 1 species